rfam:Treponema saccharophilum DSM 2985 Tsacc_Contig217, whole genome shotgun sequence.
GCGGUGUUAGCGAAGCUGGUUAUCGCGCUGGCCUGUCACGCCGGAGAUCGCGGGUUCGAGCCCCGCACAUCGCG